GGAAUGGAAGAGUAAGAAGAAAGUUUAUCAAGCUAGGGUUUCGUUGUCCCCCUUUCUUCUUCCCCGAGCUCCGCCUCCAAAUCAGGGGUGACUCUAGAUCGAAUCCAUCCAUUAGCUCGGGUUCUUACGCCUUCCCAGGCCCUCGACGCCCGACGCCGUCCUCCCAGGCCCCCGACGCCGCCAUCUCAGGCUCCCGACGCCGUCCUCCCCGGCUCCCGACGCCGCCAUCUCAGGCUCCCGACGCCGUCCUCCCCGGGCCCUCGACGGCAGCUGCUGGGACGCCCGACGCCGCCCUCCCAGGAUCCCGACUCCGUCCUCGCCGGGCUCUCGGCGGCACCUGCUGGGACGCCCGACGCCGCCCUCCCAGGAUCUCGACUCCGUCCUCCCCGGGCCCUCGACGGCAGCUGCUGGGACGCCCGACGCCGCCCUCCCAGGAUCCCGACUCCGUCCUCCCCGGGCCCUCGACGGCAGCUGCUGGGACGACCUCUCCAAGCCGCCGCACGACGCUGUUCCCUGGCCUUGCCGGACGACCCCGCGGCCAAGCUGCUGGCGUUCGCUCUUCCAAAGCUCCGCCACACAAAACUCCCUCCCUCAACCUUGAGGUCCUUCCCAGCCAGGCGGCCCGCGAUAUCACCCUGAUCGAAACUCACCACCGAAUGAGUUUGCUAAUAGGUUAAAGCUAUGGGUGGCCCGUCGCUGUUCUAGAUCAAUUGUUUAUGUGGAAUUCCGACCAAUAGACCCUGAUGCAGUGUUAGAGCAGUGGAAUACUGUACACCCAAUUCCGGCAGAUCCUGAGGGGGCAGCUUCACCACAGCAGGCUGAGGGGGCAGCAUCACCACAACAGGCUGGGGGUGCUGCAGCAGAACAUGCCAGGAGGGCGGUGGAAAGUGCAAGAACCCUCUCUUGCACUGGUUCCUUUGUGCAUACAGACGGAAUUGACCCCCACCAUUAUGUAUUGACUUCUGCGCAUGCUGUUGCUCCAAUUUUCACCAGCAAUGUACCAAUGACAGCAUGGGACCUUAGUCACUUCUACGAACCACAUGUUCUUUGUUACCACCGUGAGCUGGACCACCAGAAUGGGCACGACAAUGUGAGGGUUUUCGUAAGAGGAUGGGUGGCUUUCUUGAGCUGCGAAAAUGAUCUGCUAAUGAUUCGCGUCACCCAACCCCAUAUGGAGGGGUACUGUCAGCAAGAUCAUCAGCCACUAACAUUUGCUUCUUCAUUUCCAAGACUCCUGAAUGAUGUGGUGAUGGUUUCAUGGCCAGAAGUUGGGAGAAGAUUGGCCGCUGUUUCUGGGGAGGUCUCCUACCCAAAUCGCCAUAUUGAUCUUUUAGAUGAAGUUAAUGUGUUUGGAUUUACUAUGGAACUCUCUGAGGUGAAUAUCACAUCGGAGAGUGGAAGUUUAGGGGCACCGUUACUUGACGGCGAGGGCAAUGUGGUUGGAGUACUGCAUGGUGGGAAUGGGCGGUUCUCCUUUUUCAUCUCUCUUGGUGACCUCAGGGAAGUUCUUAAUCAGUGGGGUUUCAUUCUUGCAGUUCCUGCUUAAGCUCCGCUGAAUCUGUCAAUUGUCUGUUCCACUUUGACUAUGCUAUGAUUGAAUUCACAGAACUUUUAGGGGUGGUUUCUAGGAAUUUUAAAUUGCUGCUGUAUCUUUACAAAUUGGAGUAGCUUUUGUUGAUUUUUUUCCUUGCAGUAAUCUAAGACAAUGGAUGUGGAUGGACAUUGAACAAGCAGACAUAUGUUUUCUGAAAUUCCUGUUAUGAAUGGAAAUUGCAAAGACAUUUGGACCUCAAGUUAUGAAAAAACAAUUCUAGGGAUAACUGAAGUUGCUAGUAUGAAUAAAGACACAUGAAUUUGCAUUUUUCUUUACCACAUGUAAGCAUAUUGCACCACUUCGUUUCAAUAGCAGAGGUCACGGGAUACUAAUAUAUAGUGUUUAGUUAAGUUCUUGUCUGUAGAAGCAUGAGUGUUGGGUUGGCUGGCCUGGGUUUCACCACCAACCAUUGUGUAAGAAUGUACUCCCUCCGUUCCUAAAUAUUUGUCUUUCUAGAGGUUUCAAAUGGUGACUACAUACGGAACAAAAUGAGUGAAUCUACACUCUAAAAUAUGUCUAUAUACAUCCGUAUGCGGUGACUAUUUGAAAUCUCUAAAAAGACAAAUAUUUAGGAACGGAGGGAGUAGAUCGCAACCAUAUCAAAACUGUGGGAUGAUCUUUAUUAAUAAAUUGUUGUCAAGAGUUGGGCUAAAACAAUUGUGAUGUGAACCCUCUUCUCUCAAAUUUAUUCACUUGUAUUGCGACCCAUUUUCAACCUAGUAUAGUAAUACCAGUAAGAGCUGCUUCUGAAGUGUCUGUCAGCCUAACACACACCAGUCUAUCGGUUAUGAGGUACUUCUCAUGGGUUCACUUGGUGAGAUAAAUUUGAUUAUAUGGAAGUUUGGUGAAGGCAAAACCAGAAUCAAUUCGAGGACAUGGCUCCAGGUUAGUACUUUACUACAGCAGGCCGUAAGAAACAACACCUUUCCUUUUGAAUUUCUCAGCCCCCUGCACCUCCACAGCUGCAUCAACCUCAAGACUCAUAUGCUUGUAGAUAGCCUGUUUAGAGCAAACAAGGAAUCAAGAACGAUUUGAUCCUCACAACUCAUAAGCUUGUAGACAGCCUGUUUAGAGCAAUUAAGGAAUCAAGAACAAUUUGAUUCACAAAUUCUUAUUUGGCGUGCGUGCACUGCACUGCUUAGCAGUGUGUGGCCCCCCUUUUUAGGGUUGUACUCGGACUGUGGGGUUGCACUUUCAGAGGUCAUUGUCUCCCCAUUUUAUUUCCGCCCUUGCAACCGCUUGGUCUGCUUCAAGGUGGAGACCAAGGCAAUCCAGCUCUUGUGGUUGGUGCUAGCCGAGCUCGCUAUCUCAAUGAGCCGCCCAGAGACAUGGAGUGAAGGGGGAUUGUUCUUAGGGUUUGGUGAUAUCCGUUGGAUCCUUUGUGCGAGAAAGCAAAUCCAAGACGAAACCCUCAUGUGUAUGGUUUUGGCAUUUGUGCUCUUAAGUUCAAUUGGGGCAAUUUUGCCUUUUGAUUUCUUCUAUAGAUUUGUUUCCACAAUUCACUUUUGUCUGCCUGAUUCCUUGGUUCUAUGCAACCAAGUCCAGGUUAGUCAAUUGCCCCUAUCUCGCUGUUAUUAUUUUUUUGUUUAAUUGUGUUAUUGGUGAUGUGGUUUUUCUUCAUUGUUUUUUUUCUAGCUGUUCUCUUCUAAUUUGUGUGAUUUUCUUCAGUAGGCAGCCAAAUUCAAGUGAGUGGAUUCAGCUGUUCAAGUAUACUCCAUAAUACUGGAUUUUAUUAGAAAAAGAUGAGUAUCAGUGAUCGGAAUGAUUGAACUGCAGUACACUGCAAAGAAAUUUGGAUUACGAGAAGGGCAUAUAUCAUGUAAAAUUUACUCCCUCCGUUCCUAAAUAUAAGUCUUUUUAGACAUUUCAAAUGGACUGCAACAUACGGAUGUAUGUAGACAUAUUUUAGAGUGUAGAUUCACUCAUUUUGCUCCGUAUGUAGUCACUUGUUGGAAUCUCUAGAAAGACUUAUAUUUAGAAACGGCGGGAGUACAUAUGUUCGUCACAUUUGUUGUCCACUCAUUGGGUUCCGUUCAAUCAAUUGUGUGAUCUAUGCUCUGUGCAGUGCAUAUGCGUGCUAGGUUUCUGGCCGUGCUUAAAGCUGUUGAUUUUUUUUAUUAAUCGCAUUUAGCGGCGAGGGGAGUUUUGGCUCUCGGGUCCAGAUGGACCCGAAAUCUCUGCCACUCAUAGAUGCGUCGCGAUCUGUGCCAGAGGUCAAUGUCACGGCGAUACAGAAUUCUGAAAAGAUUUAUACGCUGGCCUGUCUGACGCACAUACAGACGGUGGGUGGGUCAGAGUUUGACGGCCGUCUCCUGGAUAACGCUCGCUACACACCUGUACUCUGGGCGCCUGGUACAGGUGUCUGGUGUUCAUGGCGAUGGCCGUCGGUAUUGAAAUUCUUGUGAAUAAGCCAGGGUCGAGCUCGGCGGCGCCGGCAUAGAGGUCAGACGACGAGGCCGGCCGGAGGGGUUGCGCAGCAGCCUGAUGGAUCAAAGAACGCUGGCGUUGAAGAUGGCGGCCGACUUCCCCGUAGCUCCAGUGGACAGGUUACAUAUUUUCGCGGACGAGGCGUGCAGCGCUGCAAUUUUGAUGGAGAUGGUGCAGGCGGUAGGUCCGGCCGAAGUUCAUUCAGUCGGCGGAUCUAGAUGGGGAAUGGUUGAUGCUGGGGUCAGCGUUGUGGCCGGAUUCAGCGGUGCAGCGUACGGCGAGCAAGUCAGGGUGGAUGCCGGAGGUGUUGUGGUGUCUGAUUUGAAUGAGAGCGAGGAGGAUAACGCUGAUGCAUUUGAGCAAGGAGCGCAAGUGGAUGGGAUCCACGCCAUGGAUUCUGUGAUUGCAGACCAAGCGGAGAGUGAAGAUGCUGCUUCUGUACAUUCUACAGGGAAGAUUGAUCCACAAGCCCCAGGAUGGACAAGAAGGGUUAGGGUUGGGAAACAACCACCUGACCGCGCACCAUGCCUGGACAGGGGAUGUGCACUAGAGCAGACUAUCAGAGGAAAUGCUGACAAGCUAGGACCAAACGUGAUUGAGCCUGAGAUGCUGAUCCUAAACCUCUGAAAUGUUCGCACAUUUUUCGCAGGCAAAACAACCUAUUGCGACAAGCUCAUGGCAACACUUGCAUCCAACUGUACUUGUUGUGCUGCUAGGGGUUUCUCAGAUUGCCCUUUACGAAUGUGUAAUGCCAAUCCAGCAUCCAAGGCCACCACGGCACCAGAAGAGGCUGCCUGCCCGCCCAGUGCUAACCUACCGACCAUUUACCGAACCCCCGUCUCCACCAAAAUCCAUGGUGUCAGGCUUGAACUCUCUGAAAGUGAAGGCGAAAGUUUUCUCAAAGACUGAAAAAUGCUAAACGGCUGAGGCAUCAGGCUCAAGUUCCUUUAAACAACAUCCAAGAUUGCCAAAACACCUAGCACCGAAUCUGUUACUGAAUUUGGAACAACCGAAGCCAUUUGUUCUGCUGUCCAGCAUUAUGCCCGCUGCAUAUCAGUCUCUGUUAAGGAUAUAUAUGCAGACUGCCAGAUCGACGAACCAUCACUGGUCCUUUUUGGUGUCAGCCAUGUCAGCAUACCUAAAAGGAAGUAUAUAUCGGCAAGGAGUUACGCUACCAACCCAUGGUUUGCAGGUCGCCCAGUCGUUCCAGCUCCUACUUCCACUGCCGAACUUCUCGAAUCUCACUUCGCAUCAUUGUCUGUGAAACACCUUUCAAGGAAUUGGAUACUGCAUAAUGACCCUAGGUUCAUUCGAGUUACAGGGGAAGAGAUAAAAGAUCAGCUCCUUGGCGAUGCCAUGGUCGACCACGAACUUGGAUGUAUCAUUUUGGUCGACCACGAACUUGGAUGUAUCAUUUUGCAGCGCCAGAAGCAGCUUGAUCAUGAAUCAAAUCCUGAUGUACAAUAUCUUAACCACCGACACAUCCUAGAGGUUGAUUUCUCGACAGUUGCUCUAUGUGGCACAAGUAUUUCCGACUUCCUAGAGGUCCAGAACCAAUUCAUUGGCCCAAGUGUCUACCAUGCCAUAGAGGCCUGCCAGCUGUUCUACGUACCAGCUAUACUACGCGACGGAUGGGCAAUCCAAGUUUUUGAUCCUUCAGUCGGUCCCAAAGGAUGCAGCCAGGAUCAGCAGGCUCGACACGAGCUUAUUGCGUCGUGCUUACAUAAUGCAUUGUUCGGGUGCCUGCAUGCUGGGUGGCCAACACGAAAGGAUAACUGGUCUACCAUUUCCCCUGUUUUAUGGAUACCACAAUUACCAGGUUUCCCCUUUGCGUUCCACCUAGAAUUAAGUUCGUUUCCACAUCAAUAAGAACUGCCUAGCACACCACUAAUCCAAACUUUCGUCAUGCACAUCAUUAGGUACCACGAUGGAGAGAGUAUACCGAUCACCAAGAACAACCUUGUGAAAACUAAAAGUACAUUCUGCAAGAAGUUAUGAAGCUCCAGGGGAACAGUUCAUCAUUGCCAGCCGAUGCACUAUGGUCAGUUCAUGCCCCUACCGAUGGUUAUGAAGCUCCAGGGGAACAUUUCAUGCGACCCAUUUAGCGUGCCCACUACGGACAUUCAAUGAAUAUUCAUUUUGUCAAUCCAUGUUGUAUCGCUAUACAUGACUAAGUGUGUAUCGUACAUUUCCUCCAAAACCAUCUACCUAAAUGGACAACCUAUUAUAUUUUUCA